rnacentral:rRNA from 1 species
GAUUAACGCUAGCGGGAUGCCUAAUACAUGCAAGUCGAACGAAGUAUUUAUACUUAGUGGCGACGGGUGAGUACCACGUAUCCACAUACCCAUAAGAGGGGGAUACUAGUUGAAAACUAGCUAUUACCCCAUAGCAUAUUUUACAUAAGUAUUAAUAUUAAAGUUGCGUUGCAACACUUUUGGAUUGGGGUGCGACGUAUUAGAUGUUGGUGAGGUAAUGGCUCACCAAGUCGAUGAUGCGUAGCUGUGCUGAGAGGCAGAACAGCCACAAUGGGACUGAGACACGGCCCAUACUUCUACGGAAGGCAGCAGUAGGGAAUUUUCCACAAUGGGCGAAAGCCUGAUGGAGCAAUCCCGCGUGAACGAUGAAGGUCCUACAAGAUUGUAAAGUUCUUUUAUUGGGGAAGAAAUGUAAGAAAAGGAAAUGUUUUUUAUUUGACGGUACCCUUUGAAUAAGUAUCGGCUAACUAUGUGCCAGCAGCCGCGGUAAUACAUAGGAUGCAAGCGUUAUCCGGAUUUACUGGGCGUAAAGCGAGCGCAGGCGGAUUUACAAGUCUGAUGUUAAAGACAACUGCUUAACGGUUGUUUGCAUUGGAAACUGUAAGUCUAGAGUAUAGUAGAGAGUUUUGGAACUCCAUGUGGAGCGGUGGAAUGCGUAGAUAUAUGGAAGAACACCAGAGGCGAAGGCGAAAACUUAGGCUAUAACUGACGAUUAGGCUUGAAAGUGUGGGGAGCAAAUAGG